rnacentral:lncRNA from 1 species
CCAGUAGUGUCGUGCUGCUCAAUAAAAUACACACUACAACAAAGACGGUAUAUAGUGACACUUUUAAAUAUCAGUACAGAUAAAAAAAAUAUUGCUGGUUAAAUUACCAAUACUUUUUAAAAAUGUUACUAUAUGUGAGGUCGCUAUAUAUAGCUAGGACUACCUUGGUAUUUGGCAUCCGUUCCUCCAGCGAUCUGUGAUGAAAGGAUACAUGACGAUCGUAACCUUCUACAGUCCCUGCGAGAUCCUCACGGCCGAACUCUAGCCGCCGGAAUCCUAUCUCGUCGGCUACGGCGGCGGAGGGGGAGAAGGGAAGAUGGUGAUCAAUUUUUUUUUUUUUUAAUUAUUUGUAAUCGGGUCCAGUGAGCUCGGUGUGGUUUGUUGAGUAGAAGAAUUUUUUACUUUUGAUUGGAUUGAGCUUUAUAUUUAGGUCUUAAUAGGUUUUUUUAAAAAAAAAUUGGCAUAAAUAGGACACUCAUAUAAAAGUGUUCUAAAAAUAUAUCUCUAUAAUCUAAUUCUUUUGUAGUGAGUUCUAUCUAAAUAGUAUGUAUGAGCAAAAUUAUAUAUGCAUUAAAUAAAAACUUUAUGUAGAAGCAGAAGUAUCAAAUUGACUGAUGCUGAAAGCAGAAUUAGCAUUAUGUUGCGUGAGUGAGAAUACUACAACAAAAAUGGUCUAUAGCGAUACUUUUAAAUAUAGGUACAUAUCAAAAAAGUGCUACUAACUAAAAUUACCGACACUUUUAAAAAGUGUUGCUAUAUGUGGGGUCACUAGGUAUAUAGUGACAGUUAAAGAGUGUCGCUAUAACCUAAAAGAGUGCUGCUAAUUUACCAACACUUAUUUAAGGAUUUAGCAACUGCCGAAACUCUAUCUCGUUGGCUGCGGUGGCGGAGGAGGACGACAAUAAAGGCUCUUCGUCUAGAAUUUCAGUGGAUUGAGUGAAGAGAGAAGAAAAGAUGGUAAUUGAUUUUUCUUUUUUUUUUUCUUUUCUGUUUGUAAUUGGGCCAAAUGGACUGGAUUUGGUGGGUUGAAUAAAGUAAUCUUUUAUUUUUGGUUGGAUUGGGCUUUAUAUUUAGGCAUUAGUAGAUGUGUUUUUAAGUUUUAGCAUAAAUGGGACACUUACUCAAGAGUGUCCCAAACAUGUGUCCCUAUAACCUAAUUCUAUUGUAGUGAAAAAUGCGAUACGAAAGUAGCCUGUUUGUUUCUGUGAGUAAUAUUAUAUUUGUAUGUAUUAUAAUGUGUGGGUUAUGAAAUGAAUUGAGAGCUAUAUUUUUAGCUGCUUUUGUCUCUGGCUCCGUUUUAGCCGAUGGUGGUUGAUGACUCUCAAUCUCGCAUUUUAUGUUUCCAAUUUUAUAGAAGUACUAUUUGAACAGAUGUAUUUAAAUGGAAUUUAAUUGGCAUAAUAAUGUAGUCUAAACAAGGCUUUAAAAAAAAAUCACUGCACAUAACAGUAGUAGCUGGUGUCAAAUAAAGAUCUUAUGCUUUUAGCUGGCUUUAGAAACUUAGUUUAAGUGGCUACUCAUUUGUUUGUCAAAAAAUUCUCCCAUUUUUUGGGUUCUAAAGUUAAAAAAAAUAAAAAAAUAAUAAAAGGUUAAUCAAAUGUCAUCUGUUGUUUGCCAUGGUAGGGGUGAAUAGGUACUCUAACAUAGCAAAUGUUAAGCGUUCGCAUGUGAAUAAUUUUACAUCGUGUAAUGAAUAAGAUAGUAAAAAAUUUGAUAUAUACUAACGGAUCAAAACCUAAUAGACUUAAACUUCUAGAUUGAAUGAGUUUCAUUAUACACGUCACAUCCUUAAAUUUAUAUGGAUCUGAACUGAGCUUGGAACUCUCUUAUUGCAAAACAACGUAAAAUAAAAAUAGAUGCAAAGUUUCUUGAGAAAAUAAAUAAAUGAGAGAGAGAGAAAGAGAGGGAGGGGAUGAAAAAGAAACUUUAAAAAUUCACUACUACAAACUAAGUCCUCUCUUAGAAAUAAGAGAGAGAGAGAGAGAAAGAGAGAGAGAGAGAGGGGAUGAAAAUGAAAAAAAAAAAAAGAACUUCAAAAAUUCACUACUACAAACCAUGUCCUCCUCUCUUUAAUCUCUAAAAGCCAGAUUACCUAGCAUUGCUUGUGGACCUGUUUAAAACUUUUUUCAAAUGAUCUUUUUAAAACACAUAUUUUUAUUCUUUAUAAUUGAAUAUCUUUUUACUCAAAUCUUAAAAUACUCUUAGUCGUAACAGUGAUUGUCUCUUUCAGACGCGUCUGAUAAGCCAACUAAAAUGGACCAUUUACUACGAUCAAUUCACCUUCCUCCGAAAGAUUAGUAUACUAACCAUGUACAUAAUUUUUUUAAUGUUUUCUACUUAGGAGGAAGACCUUCUUUAGUAUACUAAACAUUUACUACGAUCAAUUCACCUUUAUCCGAAAGAUUAGCAUAAAGAAUGUGAUUAGCAAGGAUUCACUAAGACUAUUUUAUUAGGACAAGUGAGGUUAGGAAAGUUCCUUUGUAUUCAAAUAGAAUAAAGUUAAAGAUACUAUAUCUCAUAAUAAAUAAUAUCCUUUUGGUUGCUAUAUCUUCAUGUAUAUUUAAAAGUUGACCUACUUCUCCUAGGUCAACUCUAGGGAUAGUUUUAAUUAUUAUUAUUUUUUAGAUAGGUAGCAUGCUACCCGUUUUAUUUAUUUCAUUUAGAAAUAAACUUAACUGGAAAUGCGAAUCAUACUCUAGGAAUAAUCCUAAAUACAUAUUUUGCAUAUCCAAGUCCCAACUUCUAAGUUAAGUUAGAAGGGAAUGGAUAAGCCUAUAAUUAGCUUAUAGAGUUUAGCCAAAAUGCUUAUAUUUUAUUGGUAAAAAUGUACCGAAUUUACCUAAAUUAUGAAUUAUUUUGAAUCAACAACUAAUUCUUUCAAAAUUUUAAUUUUACUAUUCAAUCUUUUCAAUUUAUUUGAUUUGAAAUUGUCAUGUUAUUUUGACUACAAAAUUUGAAUGCAUUAUUUUUAGAGGAGCAAUACUAUCUGUACACUCUAAAAACGUUAUAAAUCUUACAUCUUUUUUUGUCCAAGAACCAACUUUUAGUUCGUAUCCUUUUAUUUUUUAUAUUAAAAUUUUGAAGAGGCUCGUAAACAUUAGAAUGAAGGAGUAUAAUGGGUGAAGCUACUAUUUGGGGUUUUUGGAGUACCACUAAUUCUAUAUAAUUCCUUAAUUAUAAAAAUUAGACAUUUAAAAUUUUUAUAAAAUUAGAUCUAAUGCACCGCUUUUAUUUUUGUUUUUUACUGUUUAAUAUAUAUUUUUUUAGAGUUCAAAUAUAGAAAAUAUAUAUAUUUAUAACAGUUUACUGUAUUUAAUAAGCGGUGAUUUAUUCACCCCAUAAAACUAGUUUUGUAAAUAAAGUUUUAAAUAAUUAUUUUUAUAAUUAUAAUAUUUUUUAAGUCUAUUAAUAAAACAUUAUCUAGUAGUCAUAUCUGCUUGUAAUACACGUCACAUAUAUUCAAAAAAAACCCUAGCAAAUUUAUAAUAGCCCAUAUAGCCCUCUUUUUAUCACGUAAGUGUCGUAUUUCCAUUUUUAAGUUGAAUAUGGUGAAUAAAUCACCAUAUUCAUAUCAGUAUUUUAGUCUCCUUUUAACUUAGAGAGGAAAAAAGUACAAAAAGAAAUACUGUGAAUCAAUUACUGUAUUUAAAUACGGUGAUUAAAUCACCAUGUUUAACUUAAAAAGACACCUACUGACCUAAGCGCUCGCGUGGCAACAAAAAAGCUAUUUAUGCAAAUAUAAAUUGUUUAGGAUCAUUUGAGAAAAAAAAAAUUGAGGGGGUUAAAUAUAAAAAAAAACAAAAAAUAUAUUUGCAUAAAUUAAUAAUACUUAUUGCUACUGAAUUUUUUUGACACUUUAUUUAGCCCAAUAUAGUUAGCAAAAAUUUAGGCAAGCCUCGGCCCAAAUUAAUAUCCCUAAUUAACCAUUUCAACUACUCCUAUAUACUCUUGUCAAAGCAUUUUUAGAAAAUUGAAAUUAAAAUGAAAAUUGAAAUUGAAAUUCAUAUGGGAGCAAUUUGGAUACAAAAAAUGACAAAUAUUUCUCCUGAAAUUCAAUAGCUCAAAAUUAUUAAAUAGUACGAAAUAACUAUUUUUUCCAUGUCUGAAUUCGAGACUUUCAAAAUUGUUCAAUAACGUGGGCUUGCGAUAUAACUGUUUUCUCUAUAUCUGGGCUCGAGACCUGAGACUUUCAAAAUUGUUAAAAUACACGGACUUAUGAAACAACGGUUUCCUUCAUAUCUGGGCGGGCUCGAGACUUUCAAAAUUGUUAAAUGACUCGAACUUGAAUUAAAUAGAAAAAAAUUAACUAUGCUGGGAGAUAAGCGUGACUAGAGCUCAGAAAAGUUAAGCUGAUGGAGAAUGGUAUUAUUAUAUAUUUUUUUAUAUUUAACAAAAAUUGUUGUGCAACAUCGUAAUUAAAUUACAAAUUUAAAAUCGAACUGCUAGAAUGGAUGUAUUGUAAAUUGAAUGAAUUUUAUUUUUAUUUUUUUGCUUUGUGAUCAUUGUAAUUCAUGCAAACAUUAAAAAGUAGUAAAACAGUAAGAUCUAUUUUUCACUUAAAUUUAUUGUCACGCCCCGGAUUACACUUUUCCCGGGCGCGCCGACAAAUCCGCCGUAUACAAAGGAAUUUCCCCUGUAUACGAAGCGAUAGCUGUACCUGUAAAACAAACACUACUACGAAUAGUAGUAGAGAGCUGCUAGAGAAAACAGAAGCUAACAAACUGAGUUUCAUAUACAUAGUCCGNCAUAUUAAUCUUUUUUUUUUUUUUUUUCUUAAAGACUAUUUGAAUUUUUGCCAAUUCUAUAACAAGAGUAUAAGAUCUAUGGCCCUUUUUGGAGUGUAUGAGUAAAAUUUUUCUACGUGACAAUUCGAACAUGUUCAAUUUUUCAAAAUUUUAAUUUUCUUUACUCUAUAUUUCAAUUUAUUUGAUUUGGGCUAGUGAUUUUAAGUUAAUUAUUGCUUUAACCAAUUUAUAGUUACGAGCAUUAUAUAAAAUGUACUAACUAAAUUUAUAAAAAUAAACGGUAUAUUUAAAUUUGAAAGUUAAUGUUGUUGACUAAUAUCAAACAAAUUGAAAAGUUGGAUAUUAAAAUCAAAAUUUAAACGAUUGGAUAGUUGGUUCAAAAUGAAUUAUAAUUCAGAUAAAUUAUAUAUUUUUUAUUAUUUUUUAAUUAUAAAAAUUAAGAAUCAUUCUUGCAACGUGAGCAAGAUUCUGAAUAGUAUUCAUGUGACUUGUGAGUAAAAAAAAUGAUGAAAUGUUAAGAACGUGGGCCACCAAAUUUGUGUUGUUAUUUUUUUGAAAAAAAAAUUACAUAAAAUGUUUAUAUAAUUAAUGCAGAAAAUUAGAAAUGGAUUGUUGUUGCUUAUAAUUUUUAAAGCCCAAAAUAUUCAUUUGGCAAUAAAUUAAAUAAAAAUUGAAAAGCAAAUUUUCUUUCGCUGUGUAAUUUUUUUUAAAAAUAAGUUGUCUUCUUUCAUUUGUUUGAAGUGUAUUAUAUAUUAACCAACAUUAAUUAUUAAAGUAAAAGUCUUUUCACCAUUACAUCAAAUUAUAGAUAAUUAGUAUUUACAACAAAUAAUAAAAAAAUAACAGCGAUACCCAAUAAUAGGAUAACAUAUUUCACAGAUACCGACCGUCGCUAGAGCAAGUAGCAAAGGGCUUAGUGGUUGGUACUCGAGACCCGAGUUCGAAUCCUAGUUGAUUCACAUUUCCAGCUAAGUUUAUUUCUAAAUGAAAUAAACGAAGCGGAUAGCAUGCUACCUAUCUCAAAAAAAAAAAAAAAAAACAUAUUUCACAGAUAUAAGAAGACGUGACUAGUAUUAAUGAUUAUAUUCCUCUUAUGUUAAAUCCUAUAAUCUUUUUUAGUACAUAGAGAAAAUGAAUGGGCAUAUUGGUUUCAGAGGCUUAUUUUGCAUUUAACCUCUUCAUAAAUUUUUUCACAAAUAAUCCGGUAAAUUUAUAAUUGUAAAAUUGAUCCUAUUUCUACUACGCAGAAAAUCUAAUAAUAGGACAAAAAAAGCCUAAAUAUACUUUACAAAACCUAAGUCAAAAAAAGAAGAAGAAAAUCUAAUAAUGGGACAAAAAAAAGCCUAAAUAGAUCCUUAAUUCAUGUACCUCCACAUUAGCGAAUAAUGUUUUUUGGGUUCCAUUAUGGACCGGGCCGAGCCACCAAUAAGCAGAUAUUCAAUGUAUUCAAUUUUCUUCUCUUCAUUUAUUCAACAUUUCAUGAAUACUUGUUUCUAAUUAUUUAUAAAAAAAUAAAUCUGAAUGCUCUUUUACUAAAGUUCAAAAAUACUGCAUAUUAAAUAUAAAAAUAUGUAAAUAUCGUUCUCUAACAGUUUAAAUUUUUAGAAUACAACGGUUAUUUCACACGGUAUCAGAAUAGGAGAUACUGAAUUCGAGUUAUGUCAGGCUCCUAACAUUAUUAAUUUUCUCCCAUUAAAUUCAAGUCUACAUUAUAGGCCUUGGAAAAAAGUCUCUAGCUCAGACGUGAGGGGGAGGGUUACAUUUAAGCUUUCAGAAUACAAUGGUUGUUUCACACUGUAUUUUGAGAUUAAUAAAUUUAAGAAUAUUUCCAAAUAUUUGAUGAAUUAUUUUUAAAAUUUCAAUUUUACUCUCCAUUAAGCUAAAAACUUAAUAAACUUAACAUCACUUUUAAUAUUUUUUAAAUACUACAAAUAUUAAGGUGUUUGGUUCAGGGUGUGUUUGGUUCCACGUAAAGCCGUGGAAAAAAAAAUUUCGGGAAAAAAAAUAUUUUACGUCGUUUAUGUUUGAUGUGUAGGAAAAGAAAAGUAAUUUUCCACGACGAUUGUUUGGUUGAAAGGAAAAAAAAAGUUAUAAAUAAAAAUUAUUAUAUAUAUUUUUUAUUUUACAUUUUUUAUAUUAUUAAUAUAUAAUUUUUAUCAUAUUAUAUAUAUUAGUAUUAUAGUUUAUAUUUAUAAAUAAAAUAUAUUUAAAAUAUAUUAUACAAUAAUUAAAUAUAUAAUAUAAUAUAUAAUAGUAUAUAUUUAAUACUAUAAAAUAAAUUACUGGAUAUAAAAUAUUAUAUAAUAAAUAUAUUUAUAAAUAAAAUAUUAUUUUUAAAAUAUGUUAAAUAUAAAUAUAUAUUUAUAUAUUCUAUAUAUAUACAUAAAAAAAAAAAAAAAGUUGGGGGAGAAAGUCCACCGCACCCUACACCAUAGACCUCUGCUCUCUCGCACGGUCGCACGAGUGGGGUAAGCCUAACGUGAUGCGGCGUGCUUGUGAACCCGCCCCUCCAACAUUGCCCAAAUGUUCCAGGCGAAAUGAAAUUCCGUUCAUCAUAAUUUUUGUCUAAAAAAUUUCUUGUUCCUCCGAAGAUUUUUUUAUACGCGACAAACCAAACGCUUGAAAUUAUACUUUUUCAUUGAAAAUUUAUUUCUUCGGGGCGAUUUUAAAAAGACCGCAAACAACCUCUCAGCGUAAAAUAAAACAAUAAAUUUAUUUUCGGUAUGAACAUAUAUUUUUUUCGGCUUGUUUCGUUACGUAAAAAACUAUUUUUUUCAAUCGAAUUUGAAAAUAAUGAAGCUUUUAUUUUUCUAUUUUGCGAUUCAAAAACAAUGAAGACUCAAGCUUCCGUAAUUUUUCAUAAUCAUUUUUUCAACGCAAAACAUUAAACAAAUAUAUUUUUUUUCUUUCAAUCAGACAAAUAUUAAUGCAAAUUUUUUUUUCCCUAUAAAUCAAAUAAUACAAAACGUACUUUUUUUAGCCAAAUAUUUUUUUAUAAUUUUUUUUUUUUAACAAUUAUACAUUGAACCAAACGGGCUCUAAACUAGAAACUUAAUAAACUUAUCAUCAGAAAGAUAAUUUUCAUAAAUUUAAUAUUUUUUAAAUACUACUAAUAAUAAUAGUAAUAAAAUAAAAUAUUAAAUGCUACUAAUAAUAAUAAUAGUAAUAAAAUAAACCAUUUUUUGUUAUUUUAUAUAUAUAUAUAUAUAUAAAUUUAAUAAAAUAACCCAUUCGUCGUUAUUUUCCGUGCGUUGCACAUUUUUGAACGGGCACUCGGUAGUCAAUUCCUUCGCCCCCCUUCGCCUACCUCUCUCUCUCUGUCUAUCUCUCUCUCUCUCAGAUCUCGCGUCGCCCCAAGCCCUAACCCUAACCCUAGCGACCCCCGAGGGGAAGGGGGAUCGGGAUACGAGGCCUCCGGUGGCGUUGGAGGUGGCAGAUCCGGCGACCGGCGGGGGCACGCGCCGCGGCGACGGUCCGUGGGCGUGUUCGUUCACGGAUCCAUAACCGGUGAGCUCGAUAUCGUCCUCUCUCUCCCUCUCUCUCUCUCUAAUGCGAUUUGGGAAUGCCUCAAGUAGUAAUGCGGUGAAUCGAGGUCGGUAUGCAAUAACAAUUGCUAAUACUGGAUUAGAUUCGGCGAAUUGUGAGUACAGUUUUCUGGUUCGAGGUGAGUAUGCAUUGACGAUUGUUAAUACUAGAUUAGAUUCGAGAAUUGUAGUUAGUUUUUUGAAUCGAGGCGAUUAUUACCAACAAUUGCCAAUACUAUGUUAGAUUCAACGAGUUAUGAUUAUAGUUUUUUCUGAAUCGAGGCGAGUAUGUAACAGCAAGUGCUAAUACUAGAUUAGAUUCGGUGAGUUGUGAGAGUAGUUCUCUUUGUUUCUUAGUUUAGCAUUAUUGUUUCUUUAGGUCGUGCUAUAUUUUGGGGACGAAUUGUGGCGGAUAUCUUUUUUAAUGCCUGGUUAACCUGCUAGUUUGGGAUAACGGAGAGGGAAAAAAAAAUCUUUUUUGCAUUUGGUUUUGCAUGGAUAGCUAAAGUGAUGGGGAUAAGUAUGAUGACUUGGGGGUGUAAUUGAGGUUAAAGUGGGAUAUAAUGCUAAUUUUGGGAUCGUUCCAAACUUGAUCCCUGAAUUUUUGCCCAAAUUCUAAUAAAUUCUUUUUCAAUUGUAACAAUUUAGUACCUUGAGUUUGUUCUUUGUAGCAAGUAAGUUCCUUUAGUCUACCUUUUGAAAAUAUGUUACUGCCGCGCCAACAUUAGACUUUCUUUUGAGAAAAUUGAAAUUUUGAGGUGAAACAAAUUGAAAUUUUGAGGUGAAAUUGAAAGUGAAGACAAUCUUUGGGGAUGAAAUUGAAAUUGACAUUAAACUUUAGAGAUGAAAUUGAAACUAUAAGGAUAAAAGUGAAAUGAGGGAAACUUUUGUGACUAAAUUUUUACAUUAUACUUUGAGGAUGGAAUUGAAUUCCAGCUCAAUCUUCAAGGACUAACUUUUUUUCUCUUUGGGGUAUGAGUAGUUGCAGUAGUAUCAGUGUUCUAAAAAGUGCUGCAUUAUAUGAGUAGUAUCAGAUGUAAGCCUUUUUAUUUUGAUCGCUAUAGUUUAAUCCUUGGAAUACUUUUCUUACAUAAGUUACCCAUUACUUUGAUAUGUAUAAUGAGUAUUGCGCAUAAGUUUUCACUUAUCUAUCAAUUAUGUGUGACUAUUAUGCGUUUAUUAUGUGAAAGUUUGGUCUUUCUGUAUAUGUCUCCUUAUUAUUGAUUAAGAGUCAUGUUUAUAUAUUAUUAAAAUUAUCUAAAUUGCUAAUAGUUUUAUGGCUAAAUCACAUAUAUGCCAGCAAGUGCGUCCGCAUACCACGUAUGUGCUUAAUUGCCUGCAGACUGCUGAAUGUUCUUUAGAACAUUGGAGUAUGAAAAUAUUUCUCUACAACACAGCCAAAUGGUAUUUGGAUCUCUAAAUUAUUUUCAAAUUUAAUUUUCUUUGAAUAGGAUAACUCACUUCUCAAGGGGAACCAAAUAUCUUGCUAAUUGGAACUAUAAAGAUUUGACAAUAGUAGAAAUCAAACUUGUUGGUUGUAAUUACAUGCUAAUAUUCCAACACACAUAAAUUGUGACCAAAAGUUGCUUUGGCAUCCAAACAGGCCGUAGUUCACAUGUUACUCUAGAAUAAUUGAACCUGACCAGAAUAGCUAUUUCUCCAAUUUUUGUUAUAAUCUUUUUUUUCCACAAAAUUGAUUGUGCUUACCAGCUAACAGCUCCAUGUCCUAUUUCAUGCAGCACCUCGUAGAUGGUGACGAAACUCAUCUUUUAUGCUGAAUCCUAGCUUUACCUAUGUUUGGAGUACCUGUAGUGGUUCCUAAUAGUAGUCCUGUUAUUCGACGUGCUGGUAGCAAAGCUGUUAUUUCUGAUUACGGUAUAUGAUUUGGAUCAGCUUAAGAUUCUUUUAAAUUUUGCUUGUAAGCAUGGUACACUAACUAAUUGAAUAUCUAGGUUCUAGUGAAUCUGGAAUUGCAAACGAAGAAAGCUUCUUGUUUCCAUUGGAGGUAAAUGAAAUGAAGGGUGCAAGUGUUGCAAUAAUGCCUUCACCAGUAUUCUUAUGGCGAUUCAAGGUUAUUAUGUCUUACUUGACUCAUUGUUUCUUUUUCCGAAUUUUUGCCAUUCCUUCUGAAGCUAUGUGCUGGGAAUCGAUAUUUCAUUCAUGUUGUGUUCAGAAUGGAAUUUACUUGUUGUCUGUCAGGCCAAAUUCCUUUUACAUGUAGAAACCGUUUCAUAUCUGCAAAAUCAGCAGCAUAUUGUGGUUAUUGUGGAGGGUUUUUUUAUUGACUGCUUUCCUUCUCUUUUGCCAAAUAAAAUCCUGAACUUGUAUUCAAGGUUAAAAAGUUGACUUACAUGAAUGUGAGCAUUUCUGGAGAAUUUUGAGCUUUAGACAGUAUAUCAGAUGCGAGGAUAUCUUACCUGUGGAGGGCUUGUUAAUAUGUUGAUAAUAGUAGCCUUAUGCUCAGAUUGUUCUGCAGCUUCCUUCAAUGGGUCAUUUAUUUAUCAUGUACUCACUAGCAAGCACUGGAAAUAACUAAAUACCUUAACAACCUUAUCUGCAGUCUGAUAGCAAAAGAAUAUAAUUCCAUCUGACGUUCUAUUCCUGAUCUUUAUCAAUCUGUGGCUGCUUUUUUAACAGACGAUCUUAAAACAUUUAAAGAACUUCUCAAUCAAUAAUUUGAAUUAAUUUUGAGAAGGGUAUUUAUAUUCUAUUUUUUAUCUAAUCCCCAAUUGUCUAUCCUCUAUUAAUCUCCUGGUUCUGUAGCGCAUUGAGUGGUCUAUGCUAUCCUAUCUCUACCAUUCUCUUGCUUUGCAGGAGUAAAUUUUGGGUGUUGAUUUUGCUGCACUAACAAAUUAAACCCUCUGGUGUUAACUGAUAUGCAUAUUUCAGGUAUUAUUGUUCCUCUUAUGGGGUAUCUGCUGUUGCAAGGUUAGCUUAAUUGUAAAUUCACAAGUUUUGGGAAUCCUAAUUAAGACAAAGAAAUCCUCUUGUAAUUUUGGUUAUGCUUUUCUAUUUGCAGAUUAGUUGGGACUCUGUUAUGAGAAUGAGCGCAAAUCUUCGAGAUUUAUUUCUUUACGAGGCUUUCUUGUACUAUAAUCCUCUUCUUCUUGUGGUGAGUAUUGCCAUAAAUUCUCUUCCUAUAGUUUCAAGAUAUCAUUAUGGAUUUGUCUUCAUGCAAGUUGAGCCUUUGAGGCCCUUAAUCUUUAAUGAGACUUUAUUUUGACAUAUCAGACAUUGACGGUUUGGCUUUGGGGAAUUAAUCUAUGGGUUUUCUCACAAUCAUCGGUAAACUAUGCAAAAGUAUUUGAUCUUGCCCAAAAUCAUCUAACACACCGUGAAAUAUGGAAGGUAUGUCUAUAAAUUUUGUAUGAUGAUUUGUUCAGAUUUUAUCAAUCUUUUCAGAAGCAGACCAAAUUAUGUUCAUUGAAGUUGCUGUAGAAUGCUUCACAUUGUCGUUAAAUUAUGCUAUAGGGUUUAUGCAUAAAAUUAUUCGAUGCAAACUAAUCUCCCAUCCAUGAUUAGAUCAUCCAGAAUUUAUGUGUUAACUUCUUAACCAAACUAAGAAAAUUUAGUUUUGUCCUGAGUAAAAUGUUAGGGUUUAGCUGGAGUAAUUUAAAGAUACAAUCCACAAUCAGCACACUACAGAAGGUGGCCCUGUGUGCUCUUUUUGAAACCAGAAUGAAACCAAUAUUGCAUCCCUCGGUGAUAAUAUGCCCUCAUAGAAUAUAUAAAAUGCUUUGGAAUUGUAUUCUUUUUUCUGGAUGGACUUUACGUUUCUUUGGUUGCUUUUACUAUUUUGCUGAUGCCUUUUUGCUUUGUUUUUCUAUAUUUAAUUGUAUUCUACUUCUGCUGCACUUUCUAAAAUCUGGAAGUCAGCAUGUUUCCCAGUUGGUUUUUUAUAUGAAACAGAUGGGAUUUUACAUUGUUUUUCUCCAGUUCCAUAUGUAUUCUACAUCCUCUUAGACUAAAAAAUUGACCUUUCUGAAUCAAUUUCUAUGUAUUCUUCCCAUUUUAAUUUAGAUUGGCACUUUGAUAAUUCUGUGUUUUAUGCAUUGUGAUCCUUUGGCAGUGUGCUACUUGGAUGACCAUUGUUGUCCCCACUAGUAUGACAGCGUACCUUUACCUCUACUCACAUGGAGAAGUAACACUUGCAGCGUCACAACCAGUGUAAUAUCAGUUUCUCCUUAAGUAAUUAUUAAUGGUCGUUUAUCCUGCAUUUAAUGCGUUGUAGAGAAAAUUCUUUCUGUAUGUUUCCCCAUUUGGUUCUCUUUCCUCCUUCAAUGAGUUUACUAUUUCAACUUGAUAUUAGCAUAUUUAAAUGCAAAUACAUAUUUUUCUGUGAAUUAGUCUAGUUUUGGUAUAACUUCACUGCCAUCCUUCAACAGAAACCAUCCGUAGCAUUUUCUGUAUAAUGUUCAGACUUGAGAAAUUGGUAUCCCAUCACUUUCCCGACUGUAAAUUUGAGGACAAAAUUAAAUUGGAAAAAUAAAGUUAAAUAAGGAUAUCGCGUGAUGUUGAUCUACCAGUAUUUCUUUAAGACGGUUGGUUAAAAGAAGAGAAAAAGUAGUAGACUGAUAAUUCGAUUGUAAAGGAUGUGUUUUUAGUAAGUUGUUAUUUUGUUGUUUCUCUGUAAUGCCAAUACAUGAUAAUUGGAUCUGUAUUUUAUUUAACCAGUUGACCCACACCCAGUAUUUGUAUGACAUUAUAUAGUAUAGUUUUGUAUUUGGAUUUGAGUUUAGAUAAAUAAAAAAAAAAAUCUAUCAUCAUUUCUGGGUAAAGAUUGUGUAUUAUGCUGGAUUGGACUGAUGCCAUUUUAAUUUAGCAUAGUCGUUCAUGAGCUCCUAUGUAGCCUUUACAAUAUCAUAAUCAAGAUUCAAGCAUCAGUGAACAUACUUGUAACUCCUUGCUGCUGUAUAAUUCUGGUAUCAUUCUCCUGUUCAAUCUUUGACUUCUUUAAUGAUGUUCUUUAUUGGAGAACCAUCAUUAAUAGCUCUUUAUUUGCUCAAACUUGCAAGUCACAACUGCAAGUGAAAGGACUUUCCUGAAUGCUAGCAGUUCUUCUUUUUUUUUUUUUUUUUUUUUUUGGUCUUUUUGCAUUUGAUUGGUUCUUUUGACUAUCAAUUUUUUUUUUUUUUUUUUUUAAUUAUAAUUUGAAGCCCUUCUGAGUUGGAUCAGGACUUGUCAAAUAAUAUUAUGUAUCAUGUAUGUAAGGUUAGCUUGUAAUGUAACGGAGAACCAAUAAUUUUCAAACUAUAAUUGGUCAAGAUAACUGGGAUUUUGUCAAACUUACUUCGAUUACUGGGGUUUAAGCUUGUCUUUUAUGGUUUGACUUACUGGGUUCAUGCGUCAUUGGUCUUUGUGAAGAUUGUUGUUGGAUUUUGUUGGUGUGAACCAAGUCACUUAGCUUAAAGUGGAUUGUUUGGAAGUCUUUAAUCCACUCACUUCAGCCCAAGUUUAAAAUUGUGUAGAAAUCCUCUGCGAAGUCUCACUUUUGCCUCUUCUUUUGGGCCUUAAUUUCAAAUAAAGUGAGACGAAACCUGACAUGCUAAAAAGUGCACAAUUAAACGGCCUGGUAACUUUGCUCUGUAGUUCUUUGUAAAACGACCUUGGAUACCAUAUUAGCAGUAGAGAAGGAGAGUGCAAUGGCGAGGACAGGACAACACUUUAAUGGUCAGGGUGAGACACUGGAGUUCAUGAUGAGGUUACACACUUAGAAAACCAAAUUGCCCAAGAUAGUUAGUUGGAUUGGGUCAUUUAUUACGCUAAAACUCAAUUCCUAGAACUUUUUUUGGUUAUGAAGAUGGAAAAGUCAUCAUGGUGAAUGUUUAGAUUGAAAAGUUUGCUUUUGUACUUCAGAUUCCACAUGAUAAGGUAAAAGACAUCCCGAAUGCCUUUUUUGGGGCUGCUAAAAUUGGAAUGCGACAGUUUUGUUUCUAAACAACUAAAAACACCCUUUUUCUGCAACUUAUCUGUCUAAAAAGUGAAUGCUUUCUCUUUAGUUCUUGCACUCUUGAAUUAUUCUCCCCUCUUCUAAGGAGACUGUUCCUAUGGUUUUAUUCUAUCUAGGAAUCAACUGGUUCACUGUUAGAAUGUUGUGUUUUUCAGGUUUAGCAUGCUUUUAUGUGCUUUCGAGUUGAACAGCAAAUGUUAAUUAUUUAGUGCAUGUUGUGGUGAUAACUUACUUUGGAGGAAAAAUUUUACUUGUUGCCUGGAAGAAUUAUAGUUUUUCACUCUGAAUGUAGUAGUGGUUUUCACCUUAUUGCAAUGCUGUACCCUAAGAAUUGAUACUUAGCUUGUAGUUAUAAAUUGUAAAAACCAAGGAGAACUCAUUAAUGAUGUGUUCAUGUGUGUUUCACAUAUUGCAAACUCUUCUGAGCUUUUUCUUUGACUUUUUGCAGGUUUUUCUAUAUUGCAUUGUUCUGAUGCUCCUUAUAUCUCCAUUCGACAUUUUUUACUUAUCAUCACGCUAUUACUUGUUAAGGACAUUCUGGCGCAUAAUACUUCCAAUACAGGCAAGUUAUAUAGUUCUUUGAAGAAAGUCCUAUAUCAUGCUUUCUUUUAAAAGCUAUUAAGAAUAAAUUUGUUUAAUUCUCUGUUUUAGUUACUGGCACAUAAUACUUCCAAUACAGGGAAGUUACGUAGUUUUUUGAAGAAAGUCCUGUAUCAUGCUUUCUUUUAAGAGCUAUUAAGAAUUACUUUGUUUUAUUCUCUGUUUUAGUUAUGCCUUCGAGAUGGAGAUAAAUACUUACAUCGAAAUUUCUCUUCUUUCUACCUUCUAUCUUGUAACCAUGGCUAGAGGCCUUUUUAGAGAGAUUGCUUCUAGAUUCAGUGAGCCUAAUUUGGCCUAUCUUCCAACUGUCUUUUAUAGGUUUCAUGGCAAGUUCCUCUAUUUUCUAAUUUUUCUUCUUCUGAAGAUUGAUUUUUGGUCGAAAUAGGUUGCUAGAAAUUAGAAUCCAUCUUUUUGAGCCUUCUAAUCUUCUAGUUUUGCUCUUGUGGCUUGCUGACCUCGUAUUAUUAUGAAGAGAAUUGGAGUUGAAAUCUAGUCAACACAAUCAAGUCUAGCUAUGCGGAAAAAAUUAUGUUUGUCCUUUUUCCUUUUUCUUGUAUGCCAUUAUGUGAAGAGAGAAGAGAAAAGGGCAUUGAGAUUUCUUCGUAUCGGUCUCUUUUUUUUUUUUUUUAAGGAUAAGUGCUUUGUGGGUGUAAUGAUCUUCGGCCAUGUGGUUAAAGGCUCAUUUUGUGCUGCUAAAACUAGUGAUCGCAUUGGCUUGUUGCAAUUUUUAUUCUUGAAGAGAUGGUCUUAAAUUUCCGGUGUGUGAAGUGCAUUACUUUUGUCAGUGCGCUUGUAAAAUUUGUAUAAUUCUUGAAUUUCUGCAGAAGAUUAUUUCGAUAAUUUGGUGCUUUUGGUGUUAUUCAUUUUCUCUUGCUUGAUGCAGGCAAUUACUUUUUCUGAUUUCUUUUUGGCUGAUAUUAUGACGUCAAUGUCAAAGGUAUAUACUCUUUCAGCAUUUGUAAUUGCAAUUUACUCCUUACAUUUAAAUUUAGAGAGACUAUAAUGUCCACCUGCAGCAGAAAAACUUAAUGCUGCCAAGCAAACCCUCUACAUCAACUUUACUGAUGUGUUAAAAAUGAACUUGUUAUGAAUACCUUUUUGCUAAGGUUGUAUGGUUUCUUAUCAGGUGUUCUCAGAUUUGGAGCGGUCAGUAUGUCGGAUGGUUAACCGACAGGUUCGUAACAAAUGGUUCUACUGUACUCUUUGCUUUUACAUUGGCAAAAGAAAAUGUUUGUAUCUCCAGACAACUAGUUUUAUAGUUAUUGUGCUAAUGGCUUUCUCUUGAUUUGGAAAUUUAUUGUGCUGAUUGCCUCUUUUUCACCUGAAUAACCUUUGUUAGAUCAGUUUCUGAUCAAAUACCUCUAUCUGCUUUGAUUAUAUUUUCUCUCAUGUACGGAAUGAUCCUCACUAUUGAACUAAUGGGGGUCGCUGUGUUCUAACUUCUGCGAGACAAACUAUAGAUCAACAUGUAAUAUGAAUUAAUUUUUCGUUCAAAAUGUAAAUUUGAUCUUUGCAUGGGAACAGAAGAAAUUUAUCAAUAGUCUAUUUCAUAUAAUCAUGGGUUAAACCAUUCUUAAUAAGGAUGGACAAUUCUGCCAUGUACAGAAACCUCCUCCCCACACUUUGAGAGGGAACAAAAGAAAUUCACCAACAGAAUAGAAGAAUCAACAUAAUAAUGGGCAGUUAUGAUUGUUAAGAAAACCUCAACUCACUCCCCACUCCCAUCUGUAUUUUUAUUGCUGCAAUGCAAACAUUGCUAUCUACUUUCAGCUCAACUAAUCCCAAGUUUUGGGGAUGGCUGUUGACAUAUCUCAUGUCCCUGAACUCCUACCUAGGCCCCUGCUAAAGUUUAAGCAAAAGAUGUAGAUCCAAAAGGAAGAAGAGAGAUCUUUUUCUGCUCGAUCUAUCUGAUGUGCUGGCUUUUUGGAUAUUAGUUAUUUGUUCGAUGCUUUUCUACUAUAUAUAAGCCAUCUCCUUCCGCCAACUCAUUUGCUUGUGCUUUCUGUUUUUAAAUCAACUGUAUUCCCUAAGAUUCGAAGUUUUGAACUUGAGAGAAAGUAAAUUGUGUAAGAUAAAAUUGUGGAAAUCAUGUGGGCUUUGUUUGCUAAAUGAUGUUUCGGCCCUAGUAAAGAGUCCACAAUACAAGCAGCAGUUAAAGUGGCUACUUCUGGUGGCUGAACAUGUCCUGUGUAGGAAAUUUUUAAAGUCGUUUGGUUAUAAAGCAUCAAAAAGCAUUUCUAAAGGCUUUAGCGUAUGUUACAUUUCUUGUCCAAUAUUAUUUUGUUGUGUUGGACUUCAACUUUGUAAAUAAUUCAUUGCCUCCAUAUUUUCUUUGGUCAGAUCUGUGAUAAGUUUUCCCGUUAUAGUCUGACACCCCAGAUAGCGAGCCUUUUGGCUGUUCUGGAUUGUCUUUCGUUACUUUAUAGGGCUUUUUUUUUUUUCUUUUUUUAAAUUACUGAUAUUCCAUUAAAUACUCCUUUGUAGGUUGCAACAAUUGCUUGGUUUGAGGCAGAUUCCAUUUGUGGCAGUCAUUCUAUUGCUAUUCCUCUAGUGCUCGUCUUCCCAUAUCUAUGCCGUUUAUUCCAAUGUCUACGCCAGUACAAGGAUACUAAGGAAAAGACCUGCCUGUUCAAUGGUACAUCUAAUUAUAGACCGCAUUUAUGUCUCUUUGGGUAAUACUAAAUUGUAGUCAUUAUUUUCUCUGGUCCGCAGAAGUUGGGUUUGUCUAAUAUUUUUCAUUGUUUUGUGAUGGUAUUGAUAUAUCUAGAACAAAAUCAGAGGAUGGUAUUUAAUUAAGUAGUUUUGCAAUUUUUGUAGGACAACUGUAGGACAAUGUGUGGAACCUACAGCCACUGAAUGAAUGUCCAGGUUAAAGAUUGAAAUUGAAACAGUUUUAUUUGGUUAGCGGGAACUCGACCUGAAACUGGUCUGUAAUGUACUUCCAGCCUUAUGCACUAAGAUCACAAGAUCUGGCUAAUAAAAGUCAGCAAGCUCCAAAAUUCAGCCAAUCCCCAAUCUAGAUACUAAAUUUUACUCAUUUUAUAGCCCUAACAAUGCCAAUAAGGAACUGAGUACUACUUUUCUGUUCAUAUUGUGCAAUAUAUCUCUGUUUAGGAUAUCUCCAUUUGCAUAUGGAAUCAAUUUUUCUAUGUAUAUAUUAUUUUGAUCUCUGAAGCAGUACCGACUUUUUGUUCUUUCGAUGCAGUUAUAUCUACCAAACCUUGCUCGCUAAACCUUUGAUUAAUUUUCAUUCUUUGUCCUAAUUCUAUGUCAUAACAACGCUCUUUUCAUCGAUUGCUGUCCAGCUCUUAAGUACUCGACGGCGGUGCCAGUUAUUUUCCUUUCAGCCCUCAAGUACCAUGUCUUCCCUGAACAGUGGGUGAACUUCUACCGCCCACUUUGGCUUAUUUCUAGUGUUUUAAAUUCAUUGUACUCAUUUUAUUGGGAUAUCACCCGAGACUGGGAUUUGAGGUUCGCAAAUUCUUUCAAACUUGCUUAUUAGUUAGUAUUUAUUAUUUUAUUUUAUUUUAUUCUUGCUAAUGGCUUUGUUCCUUUACCUCCCUAGUAUUCUUUCUCGAGUCUUCAAGUUCAAGAACCCAAGUCUUAUCACAAGCUGUCUAUACGGGCGGAUAUGGGUAUAAUCCUCACCAAAGCAUAAAUUGUUGGUAAAAGUGCUUCAGUGCCCCGUAGUCUAUAUAUGUCCCUUAUCUUUGAGGAUUUUUUUAUCAGUAUCCCUUAACUUUCACUUUUUAAACUUUGAAUGCUUCAUGCCUAUUUUAGUGAAUCUGCCUUUUGAUUUAACAGCAAUUUUAGUACGUAAACAAUAAUUGUCUAAUGGAAUGUUUUGAGAUUGUCUUUGAUUCCUCAAGGCAAAACCAUUGAAAGUUUGAAACAAACGAAAGUGCUUAAAUUAAAAAAGAAGUGAGAGUAGAGGAAUGCAAAUAUCUAACAGAUAAGGGACCUAUAUCGAAAUGAAUUACAGGUGGAGGGUCCAUGUGUUUAGGCAGAUUACACCAUUGGUCACUGAACUUUAAUAUGAAGUUAACUUUGUUUAGCGAAUCAUGAUAUUACAGCAGAUUCAGUUGCCACGCCACCUCUUGGAAAUGAUGUGGUUGCUAAUUCAACCACUGUAUAUUUAUUGAAGAUAUGCAUGGUAGUCGAUUUUCUAUACCUUUGAGAUGAUGUGGCAAAUGAAUCAGUUGUGGCAUCAUUUACCGCAUCAUCUCCUGGUUGUUGAAUCAGCUGCCCUGCCAUCCCAUUUUUUUGCGGAAAUUACACCAUUUUUGGUCGAGUGACAUGUUUGAAGUAGAAACUGAGGUUCAGAGAUCAAUAACUUAUCUGCAGUACACGAUAAGUUUAGUGACCAAUGGUCUAAUUUAGUCCAAUGCGCCACUUUGAGCCAUCAAGUUAAUAGAAUAUCACUAUACGUAUUCUGUUUGUUAUUGAUUUGCAGAUCUAUUACUGGGUAAUCGGUAGCAACUUGGUUCUCCGGUGCACGUGGACCUACAAACUCUCGGCCCAUCUCCGGCACAACUACAUCACCGUAUUCACAAUAAUGGCUCUUGAAAUAGUGAGGCGGUUUCAAUGGAUCUUCUUCCGCGUGGAGAACGAAUGGAACAAGAUGACAAGCAAGCAAAAUAUCGAGCUCUCCACAGAUCUGCCCAAAGAGGAAGACCCUCUACUCAGCUCCGCCAAUCAUAGCGUAUAAAAUUCUUUGAAAUCUCAAAACUCUCUUCCCUACCCUUAUUGAUAUUAUUUGUUGAUUUUCCUACAUGGUUCUCUCGUUCAUUUUGGUGAAGCCCGAGUUUAAAAUCUCAUUCUUUUAUGGAUAAUAGGUCCACACCCACACCAGGUAGAUGCACUUAGCAUCUUUUCUACUUGUCGAAGAAGAUCAAUAUGCUUUUACUGUAGCAAAUAAUUCUUUGUUAACAUUCCAUAAAAAUAAAUAUCAGUUAAAUCUAUAUUUUAGUAUGUUACUUUUAUCAACGCUUCUGCUCUCUAACUCAUAUUUUGAUUCCCAUUUCGUAAAGAAAAUCUCAUUCUUCUACAUCAUGUAGAUUUUUAUUUUUUUCCCACGUAGUUACACUAUUGUUGUAGAAUGAUUUUUCGAUUUGGGUUUAGUUCAUUUUGUUGGUGUCAAGCACUGUUUGUUCUAAUUUGUGUGGAAUUUGCUUACAAAAUCAUUUUAGCUUUAACGGGAAAAUAAUCUUGGACGUAGCAAGUAAUCUAGCGAUGACAUUGGGAAAACCAGUUAGGAUCAAGGAUUAUUACUCUAUUUAAGUGGAAAUUCAAUGGACCCAAUUGUAUAAAGUUUUAAGAAGGAAAACGCUAUUGUAAAAUUUUUACGGGCAUAUUCUCUCUCCGAAUAUCUGAAACUGUAAAUUAGGGGUCUUUUUUACAUUUGUUUAGAUACUUUUAUAGCAAUUUAUUUUUAUUAAGACAAUGUUGAUGUUGAAGAUAGAAAAAGAAGUGAGGCCAAAUAUGUCUCAAAGUAUGAUAUGGGGCCGCAGGUUCUUAGCACAAGUGUCAAAGGAUUUUAGCUGGUGCUCCGAGUUCUAAAUUCGAAGUCUAGUUAUUAUAUAUUUUCAACUUAGUUUAGUUUUAAAAAUUAAAUCGUAUCGGUAGCACACUAUUUUUCUCUAGAGGAAGAUAAUUUCACAGAAGAGUAGUACAUAUAAAAACAUAAUGGGCUGUGAGAAAUUAGGAGCAAUCUCGUGCGCCAAAAAUGUAGAAAAAUAAUGCUAUUACAAGUUGGCCUUAAUUGUGGAAUAAUACUUUUACGUUUUGUAGUAGAAACUAGGAAAUAAUGCUGAGCAAAAUAUUCUAUAUGAAAUUGAUUUUGCCCUACAAAGAGUAAAUCUUAUCAAAACUUAGCUAUGUUAUUCAGCGAAAUCCCUUCAUAGUUGUUAUAUAUAGAUAUAAAUCUAAAAAAUAAUAUUAAUUUUAAAAAAACAAAGGCUUUAUAAUGCCAAAACUUAGCUAUGUUAUUCUGCGAAUUUCUUUGUAGUUCUUAUAUAUGGAUUUAAAUCUUUAAAAUAAUGUUAGUACAUCUUAUACAAAGUCCUAUGAGAUUUGGAGCAUGUGUAUAAUGGGUAAGAAAAAUAUAUGGGUAAUACUAUCUUGAUAUUUGACUUAGUUUCUGUACUUUUUACUUAAGGUUUCGUUUAGGAUUACAGAAAAAUUAUAUUAUGUGUUGUGAGAAAGUAUGAUAAAAAAUAUCUUAUUUGUAUCUAAUAUUGUGUUCUACAUAUCACAAUAAGUCGAUUACGAUAUAUUUUUUAUGAUCCAUCUUAAAACGCAGAAGUAUAUUUCUAUAUGUUUUCGUCCCACUUUACCUUUUAGCGUUAGAUGGACCUAAUAUCAAACAUGCCCUAACUCUCACUUAUAUUGCAAUAAGCUGUUUUGUAGGUGAGUAGGUACAACGUUUGUUAAUUUCUUCAAAAAGAAAAGUUGAGAGUUUUUAUGUUUAGAAACUAAACUGUAACAUGCAAAAUCAAUUUCAAAUGAUAAAAUAUCUAAAAUAAUUUUGCAGUAGCCAACUUGGGAUGGUACAUAACAUACUCAUGGAAUGUACUCAGAUUUUUAAUACUUUUAACCACACAAAAUAAGGUGCUUAAAUGAUAAGAAUGGCAUAUUACAUUUGUCGAAUCUAGUCAAAUUCAAUCAGUCAAUUAUAAUCAGAUUUAAUGAAUCUAUUUUUCAAUAUCAAGUUCUAAUACUUUACUAUUACAACCCAGGCCAAUUAACUAUAUGCGAUUUAAAGAUCAUCUAUAUGAACAGCUCCUGUAAGGUGGAGUCCAGUAAUCUGGGCCACUGCUCUCUUUGUAGACUUGAGGAGUGCAAGAAAUGGGAACUAAGCAGAGCCCUCUACUCCUUAGGCUGUCAAUCUUUAUUUCUGCCAUUUCCUUCCUUAUAUCCAACCCUCCCCAUGCAUUAUCCUGAAAAGGGACAAAAAAANGGAAAAAAAAAAACAUUAGUGCAUUAACUAAUUAAGUACCAGAACUUAUUUGGACUAUGGACUAUUUUGAUUUUGCUAUCCAAUAUCUCAAAAUUUUGAUUCUACUAUCCGACCUUUUAACUUGUUUAAUUUGAGUUAGUCAACCGCAGCUUGACUUCAACAUUUGAAUGUAUCGUUUAUUUUUUAUAGGUUUAUAUUGUAGAAUCCAUUAAUUUUUGCAACUAUAAAUUCAACGAACUAAGUAAUUAACUUAAGUUUUAAAGUUAAAGGACUGUUGACCGACUAAAAUCAAACAAAUUGAAAUUUUAGAUAGCAAGUAAAAUCAAAGAUUGAAAUGUUGGAUAGCCGAUUCAAAAUUGUCCAUAGUUCAUAUAUGUUAUGUACGUUUAUACCAUUAAUUACCUAGAAGGGAAUGAUAGAAGUACCGAUUAAAUUAUAUGAAAUAAUCGUUGUUUUUUAAAAACUUAAACAAACAGAAAAUCGUGUUUUUAAUAUUUAUAAUCAACACGGUCCAUCACAUCUGGAGUCGGCAUUUUUCGAUAAGCCCAAAACAUGGGCUUGAAUUAAAUAGGAAAAAAUUAAAUAAACGUGGGCUUGAAUUAAGUGGGGAGGAAACUAAAUAAUACUAGAAACUUGAUAACAUUUGAGUGAAGACAUUUUGUACGUACCAUUUUAAAUUAUAUGAAGUAAUUGCUAUUCUCGGAAAGCUUAAGUUACUAGAAAAUAAGAUUUUUGUUAUAUUCAACACUUAAGUAUCCAAAGAGUUUCUGGCCUAGCUAGUUUUUAAAACAACUUUUCUACUUCAAAAAUUAUUGGCUAAACAAUCCCUUUACCUUCUCCAUAAGUUGCUACGAACUUUAGGUAUGUAAAAGUAGGAGGUUGAAUUUAAAGCUUCUGUUUACAUUACUAGAAGAAAUUAAACUAGGAUUUGGAUAAAACAACUUCAUUGGUACCUUUUUAGUAAUUUUACUUCAUUGAAACUUCUGCAUAAGCUCUAAUUUGCUGCUUAAUUUUGUUUUAUUUUACUUUUUUAAUGCCUGUUUUCGGAGAGAGGUCAAAAUAAUUGAUGCUGCAGGGUCAAGAGUAGUGUACCUUGGUAGGGCUUGGCUUCAUGUAUGGGUCACUUAAUAACUGCAUGGAUAUAAUUAACCACAAGAGUUCAAAUUAGUCAUAUAUAUCUCACAAGAAAAAGCACCAAUUAGUUGAUCAUUAAAUUAGAGAUAAUGAUCAGCUGAGCUGAAUCAGGCUCUCCAUUGAGACAAAACUUAAUUAUUAUAUAUUCCCACAACACAACUUUCUUUUCUAAUUAGUGGCACCUCACUCAAAGCUUGUUCCAUCCAUGCAUGCAUGAAAGAUUAUUUUAUUUCAAGAACUUAUAGUGCAUAAUACUAAUAUUUCAAGGGAUAAUAUCACACCAAUAAUUGGCAAAAGUAUAUGAGAAUAAUAAUCAUGGUCAUUAAUUACAUGGAAAAUAAUAUGUAUAGCUAGAAGUGGAAGCCCUUAAUAUAUUGGUGCUAUAUUUAUAUAUACAUACCUGUACUUGCUCAUGCAAGAAUUUGAUAUACUUUAUUGCCUCAAGUAGUACUGAUGCUGUAUCAGUCUGUAAUAAUAUGAUUGUUUAAACAUAAGAGAAAGUAGAGAAGUUUAACUUGAAAACAUUGCUAUAUAUCCUUUUUAAUUCGAAAUGAAAACAUAAUGUUUGCUUAAUUACAACUAAGUAUAGUGCUUACCUUUCCAAAAGGUGACACAAUUUGCUGUAAUGCAGUAAUUUUAUCUGUUAGCUUGACUUUGGGCACCUGCAACUGUUUCCUCAAGAGAGAGAGAGAGAGAGAGAGAGAGAGAGAGAGAGAGAGAGAGAGUUCCAUCAAAGUUGAACGCAUGUACAUAUUUUGAUUCAAAAUGCACUUAAACUAAAUUUUCCAACCUAUUUGAAAAUAAAAAUCUGACUAGCUAGUACUUUUCGAAUCACCAGUGAAUUAAGCAAGUUAGAAACAAAAGUUAAUAGAAGCUAUAUAUAGAUAUAUAUAUAUAUAGAUAUGUUCCUAUAUAGGUUAAACCAAUUACCUUGAGAGAUGUUGCGGUCGGGCUCUCGCUUUUAAUCUUCUUGGCAAGUGUUUCUGAACUAUCUUCUGACCGUUUCUUCUUCCCGUCACUCGUCGUCCUGCUGCCCCUAUUAUUCACCCUUGUCUACGUACACGAACACAACAAUGCUUUAUUCAUUUAGCCAUUACAUUAUCCUUACUACGAAGAAUAUAGCGAAUGCGGUGUAUGAGAUAGUAUAUAUGCAAGAGGUACAAUUUUCCUUAAUUUGGUAGAGUUAUAUUUGCUCACCGAUGAAGUUUCUAAUCCUUGUUUCUUCUUCUCAAAUGGAUCUGAUAUUUUCCCAUAGGGAUUACUCGGGCCUCUUAGUUCGACCUCCGGUUUGCUUAAACACCCACUAAAAGAUAUAAAAUCCGACAAACUCCUCGUGUUCGACCACGGGAUAUCGGUCAUUAAUCCACUACAAAGCUUGUUAUUGAGUCCUAGAAUUGAAUUGUUGAGACCAAUUUGGUAUCCAAACUCUUGAUGAUGGCUAUCUUCUUUGUAACUCGUGCUUCCGUCGAUCAUUCCAUUGCAAGAAUCCAAUUGCGAAUGAGGAAUAACCUCGUGCUCGAUGUGAGAAAUACUUGGUGCCAAGUAUUGAGAAUGAACUGAAGGAUUAUCCAUAGAAACUUCGCACGAAGGUGGCGCGAUUCGAUGAUCGAUUUGAGGGUCGGGAGGAGCUAUAGACCAAUUGAUAACCAAGUUCGAUAAGUUGGUCAUCCGCUCGGGCUCAAGCAUGGUUCCGUCGUAGCUUCUCAUAAGCUCUUUUUGCAAGGUGUUGAGAGAUGGUGCAUUUGUAUUGAACUCCCAGGUGCUGUCCAUUUUCUUCAAGUAAUCGUAGGCCGGGUCGAACAUCUCCGAUGAUAAGCUUUUGGAACUAAGGUUUUCAAGGAAAUUCUCUCCACCAUGGGUGUUCUGCAUGUUCAUACUACUUCCAGCAUUUCUGAAAAAAGAAAAAAAAAAAAAGAAACAUGCUUAAAAGCUACUUUUUUAAAAUAUAAAUUUAACUUUAUCAUCAACUAAAAGUGAUUCAAAUUUAUAUCCAAAUACAAUCUAUGAAAUGUUCCAUCAUCUAACAAUAUUUUUAAUGAUAAUAAACAAACAAAGGAGAAAAAUUUAUGGCUAGCCAGUUAACCUAUAUCUUUAUGAGCAUUCAAUAUAUCAAUAAAAACCUAGUUGCAUCACUGCUUAUUAUGGUUUCAAUAGGGACCAUGCACUCAAGUGUUUAUGGUGCAUUUAAAAACCAAAGUUUCACGAAUUAAUAAUCUCCCUUUUUGAAAUUUCUAGCACAAUUAAGUCCUCCAAAUUAAGUAUUAAUUUGAAGCACUAACAUUAAAGCUAUUAGAUAUAUAUAACUUUUUCUCUUUUUCAAUCUCUUUCCAUUAGUUUGCUAAAAACUAUAUAUGAUCUAGUGCUGCAAUAUCCUUAGAUAUACACCAAAACCCUAGCCAACCUAACAUAUAUAUAACUCAUACCGACCGUCUCUAGCACAAGUGGCUAAGAACUUGAUGGUUGGUACCCGAGAUCCCAAGUUCGAAUUCUAAUUGCUUCACAUUUCUAACUAUAUUUAUUUAUAAAUAAAAUAAAUGAAGCGGGCAACGUACUGCUUAUCUCUCUCUCAAAAAAAAACAUAUAUAUAUAACUCAUAACCAUGAUCUGUAAACUUAAUUAUAAUAUACUCGCAAGAGAUCUUCUUCUUUUUUUUGUUUUUCCUUUUGAGGAUUAUACUCACAAGAGAACUUGGUUCCACAAGUGGGACUCUCCGGCCUCGCUGGACAACUUGAGAGGCCCCUGCGAUGCCAUGUCGAUGCCGACGUGUCCGCAGGGGUUGCCGUGGCGAUGAUCCGGGCGGUGCAGUAGUUGUUGCCAUGAUGAUGAUGAUGAUGACGACGACGACCUAUUGUUAUUCAUGGUGGUGUUGCUACAUGAGGAGAGGGAGGAGGAGGAGGAGGAGGAGUUCCCAUGCAUAUCCCACCAACUACUACUAAUGUUGUUGUUGGUUCCUCUACUAGAUGAGAUUAAUGUAACUGAGGAAGAAGCCUCUGAGUUCUCUUGAGCCAUGUAGUAAUAGUUGCAGUAGUAGUAGCGAAUCGUUUUAUUUGCAUGCGUACGUGUCGCACGUGUAUGAGUGUACGUAGUGGGAGUGAGUAUAUUGCUUUGGUUUCUCAUGAGUAUUGGUGGUGGCCGUGGUGGUGGUGGUGGUAUAGUAUUAGUAGUGGUUGUGAUGUAGUGCUGUAUAUGGAUCUGGGUCGGUGGAGAUUUCGUUCCAAUUCGUUCCAAAUAGAAUAGUAAAUGAGAGCCAAAAAUAAGAAAAAAAGAGAAAAAAUCUAUUUUGAAUUCGCUCCGAUCCGCUAAGAAAUGGAGCGGGACGUAGGAUCUUUUUCUAAUUCCUUUGAUCCAACCUGAUCCAUAAAAUGUCCGCUUCCGUCCUGACUUUUGUCUCCAAUAGAACGGUAAGUAAGAAUAGAGAAUAGUAUAAAAUUUAAUUCGCUCUGAAUUCGUACAAAAAUUCAUUCACCAAAAGAAAAAUGCCAACGAGGUGUGGGACCCCUUCCGCCCCAGGAUCAGCCCCCUUUGCAUCCCUGUUGUGGGGUGCUUUUAAGUAGGAGAGGUGCACACGUCAGCAUGACAUCAGAAAGUAGCCGUUUAUGUUUUUGGAGUUGAAAAAGUUUUGAAUUGUGGAAGAGAACAUUAAUUAAGUCAUUGUGUUUCUUUUCCACUAAGGGAUGUGCAGUGGGGCAAUUAUUCUAGGGUUGAUUUGGGUCCUUGUAUGAGGGGGGAGUAUGGUGGAUUAUUGGUGGUGGUGGUGGUGGUGUCUCUCUCUCUCUUUCUCUCUCUCUCUCUCUCUAGGUUUAAUAUAUAUGUUCAUACAAUAUCAUUGUAUCUUACAAUUCUUAAUUUAUAACCAAAUUAUUUGGUAAAGAGAAUAAUUGCAAGGACAACACCAUCCUUUCAAGUUAAAAUGCUUUCAAUAUAUCAUGUUUUGUGCUUACUCCCAAAAUAGAAAAUCUGGAAGUAAAUAUAGUUGUUUAUUUUCGUCAAAUAUGAGUUAGCUAUUUGAACUUCCUAUAACUGAAUUCAAUAAUUUUACGUUAUUAUUUACCUGAUGGCUACAUGGCCUCAAAUUUGUCUUAUAACCAAUGAUGAAACCACCUAAAUAUAAAGUAGAUUAGUUAAGUUUAUAAAUUACGAAAUUUGCUUUUCGGAAAGUUCGAAUAGCAUAAAUCAUAUUUAACAAUGUCGAUCGUCUAUUCGAGUGCUUUUAUCAUUGACACUAAUGUGAAAGUAAAUGAUCCUACUUACUUCUAGCAAUUGUAUUUUGGCCUAUCUCAAAAUUAUUAUGUGCUUUGCACGUCUAUAUGAUACAGUGAUUGAAAUCGAGAAUGUUGAUGUUGACAAAACUUGAAUUCAACAUACAACCCAUUAUUUGCCAAAAUUUUAUUAGGCAGAUGUAUAAGAGCCAAUUUCUUUUUUUUAUGUAAGUUUGAUCACUUUUUUUUUCAUUACUAAAAACUCAAAAAGAUUUCUAACUUCUGGGAUAUUUAUAUAUAAUUUUACGAUAUACAUCUCAACAGUAGAUGAUCAAGUAGCAUUGCGCAUUGUAUUAAAAGUUUAAUAAAAGCUAGUAGGAGUUGAGGAUACAAGAUGUCCAAUUAAUAGUUCUACUUUUGAAGCUUACUAAGCCGUAAUUCGGUAAAGUGGAGCCUAAAUCAUCAUUUUUAUACUACAGAAGGCAAAAAAUAAAAAAAUAAAAAAAAUCUAAAAGUACUUUCAGUCAUUUCGUUUUUUACACGUUCUUCUCUGAUAGAGUUGCAAUCGUAAUUUUUAAGUAUUGGAGGAGAAAAAAUUGUAAGUGCUUUAUUACGAAACUAGAUCUAAAAGGGCUAUAGCUAGUAGCCCCUUUUAUAUACUUUUAUUCUCCUGCUAACUUCUUAUAUUUAGGUUAAUGAGUUUUCUAUCACUAAUUGGUUAAGUAAUUUAAUUUGGACCAUUGUGGGUCCUAGUUGUUUAGUGCAUGCUUUCUCCCUUGAAAAGAAAUAAAAGUUUUGUUAAUUAAUUAAUUCUUCAUUGGAAACCAAAGAUGAUACCAUAGGGUAUUAGUGUACUUGUAUAUAUAUUAACACUAUAACAAAAACGGUCUAUAACGACACUUUGAAAUAUAGGUACAUGUCAAAAAAGUGCUGCUAGCUAAAAUUACCGACACUUUUAAAAAGUGUUACUAUCUGUGGGGUCGCUAGGUAUAUAGUGACAGUUAAAGAGUGUCGCUAUAAUCUAAAAGAGUGCUGCUAAUUUACCAACACUUAUUUAAGCAUUUAGCAACCGCCGAAACUCUAUCUCGUUAGCUGCGGUAGCGGAGGAGGACGACAGGAAAGGCUCUUCGUCUAGAAUUUCAGUGGAUUGAGUGAAGAGAGAAGAAAAGAUGGUAAUUAAUUUUUUUUUUUCUUUUCUGUUUGUAAUCGGGCCAAAUGGACUGGGUGUGGUGGGUUGAGUAGAGUAAUCUUUUAUUUUUGAUUGGAUUGGGUUUUAUAUUUAGGCAUUAAUAGAUAUUUUUUAAAGUUUUAGAAUAAAUGGGACACUUACUCAAAAGUGUGAGUAAGUGUCUCAAAUAUGUGUCCCUAUAAUCUAAUUCUGUUGUAGUGUAAUGGGUUUAUGAAAACCCUAACCCUAAUCAUUAC